rnacentral:misc_RNA from 1 species
CUGCCCUCAAGCGCGGCUUGUGUAUUGGGUGUGGUCCCCCCGAUCGUUGGGGGGACCUGCCCGAAAGGCAGCGGCGACGUUCCGCCUAGGUCCUCGAGCGCAUGGGGCUUUGUCACCCGCUCGGGAUGGACCUGCGGGCGUUGGUCAUCCACUAUUCUUCCAC